rnacentral:rRNA from 1 species
UACAGAGGUCUCAAGCGUUGUUCGGAUUCAUUGGGCGUAAAGGGUGCGUAGGUGGCGCUGUAAGUCAGGUGUGAAAUUUCGGAGCUUAACUCCGAAACUGCACUUGAUACUGCGGUGCUUGAGGACUGGAGAGGAGACUGGAAUUUACGGUGUAGCAGUGAAAUGCGUAGAUAUCGUAAGGAAGACCAGUGGCGAAGGCGGGUCUCUGGACAGUUCCUGACACUGAGGCACGAAGGCCAGGGGAGCAAACGGG